UAGGGAAUCUUCCGCAAUGGACGAAAGUCUGACGGAGCAACGCCGCGUGAGCGAUGAAGGCCUUCGGGUCGUAAAGCUCUGUUGUUAGGGAAGAACAAGUGCUAGUUGAAUAAGCUGGCACCUUGACGGUACCUAACCAGAAAGCCACGGCUAACUACGUGCCAGCAGCCGCGGUAAUACGUAGGUGGCAAGCGUUAUCCGGAAUUAUUGGGCGUAAAGCGCGCGCAGGUGGUUUCUUAAGUCUGAUGUGAAAGCCCACGGCUCAACCGUGGAGGGUCAUUGGAAACUGGGAGACUUGAGUGCAGAAGAGGAAAGUGGAAUUCCAUGUGUAGCGGUGAAAUGCGUAGAGAUAUGGAGGAACACCAGUGGCGAAGGCGACUUUCUGGUCUGUAACUGACACUGAGGCGCGAAAGCGUGGGGAGCAAACA
rnacentral:rRNA from 1 species